GCCAAGAGGAUGUAAGCAUCAUCAUUGCCAGGAGAUGUUGGAGAUGGAUUGGCCAUGUGCUUCGGAUGGAAACUGAUUUCCUCACCAGAGUAGCAAUAAGAUGGACACCUGACUGCAAGCAAAAACAAGGCCACCCGAAAACAACAUGGCAAAGGGCUGUGGAAGCCGAGCUGAAAAACCUGGGGCACAGCUGGGUAAUCAUUGAAAGGCUUGCCAGAAACAGACAGGAGUGGAGGAGCUUCAUCACUGCCCUAAACGCCAGAGGUGUAAUAGGAACACGAUGAUGAUGAAAGGAAGCCAAGCAGUUAUUUAGCAGCCUGGGAGCUGGAAACAAGGGAGCUAGAGUUGAAGCUUUGCUGGAUGAGAGGGGAGUAGACAAGCCCCGUACCUUAGGGGCUGAAGAUUCGCAAUCACUUCCUCCCCGUUGGGCAGAGUUGAGUCUAAAAUGGUGGUCCACCUGGUCUUCCACUUCCUGAAACACAAAGUUGUCACCACUACAUUCCAAGAACGUAUUGGAAAUAUUGUGCUUUCCCAUAUUACUCUUCCAACAGAUGUAUGAUGGUACCAUCCCCAGGACAGGAUUUGACUGUGUUUGGAGACUCUGCCUAUACGAUGCCCCCUUGAUUGUUCUGUGCAGGAAUUACAGCAGGCCAGAAAAUGGAAAAGGUCAUGUGCCAACUGUUAGAGAUGGAAAGAAGGAGCAGGAGGACCCAGCCCAGAGGCAGAUUGAGUAAACUGACUUCUUUAUUGAGAAAUCAUGGAACCUGAUUGUCUUUGGAAAUUGAGAGUUGUUCUUCUUGCUUAUGCAAGUACCACUGCCACUGAAGUCAAUGGGAAUAACACCAGUGUGAGUAGAGCAGAAUUUGGCCAUGUAGAUUGUUUCGAUCAAUCCAGCAUCAGCAUUUCCCUUCUGGUUUAGAAAUGGGUACAAAGUUAUUUCUUGACUGUUCUGGCACUUGUCCCUAAAAAGGAGGAAAAACCUUAUAAAGUUUCUUUUGGCCCAGAAAAGCAGUAACAUCUGUUGCAGUCAUGUGUGGCUUGUUGGCUGAGCACAGCAGCCAGAGGCUGCGGUUGAUUAGCUCAGCUGCCUUCAUGAGCGUUAGUGCAAUCAAUGAGAAAUAUGCUCAGUACUUUCUGGGAAUAAGAGUGUGAUGUGUCAUUCCAUAUUUUUAUGAAAAUAUGCUUAUGAUAUGAAUGACAUAAUUGAGAGAUACUUUAUGUAAAAUGGCUCAUGUGAGAUAUCAUUGGAAAGGCUAUUAUUCACUGAAUGUGAUUAUCCAAUUUGUAUGCCUGUAUCAUGUCUAUAUCUGAAGUUAGGAAUAUUGACCAUGUAUCUGUAUUGUAACUAUGCUACUUUGGGUGACGCCCACUGCUAACACUUCAGGUACAGCAGUGGAAAAACCAGACAGGGCGGAUGGCCCAUCAGCAAGGACAAUGAACUGUGAAAAGCUUGGCCUUCCUGCAGAUGCUCCAUACUGCCACUGACUUAUGGAUGCUGUGAUACUACAGAGUCAGGUGUACUAUCACCUGAUACGAAAGCAUGACCUGGAAUUUCUUGUAACUUUCACUGUAAGGGAAGGGGAGGGUCAAGUUUGGGAAACAAAGGAUUCCCACCUUAUGUAAAUCCUAUUUAAGGGUGGGAAGGAAGGUAAACGGGGCUCCUCCUCUCCAUGGCUGGCUGCCCAAGAAAGACUGCAAAAGCCACCUGAAGGGAAGGCAAGGGGGGAGUCCAGACUGAGACGGGAGUUCAGUCUGAAAAGGAAUAUCACUGGAACUCUCAACCACAGAAACUUUGCAACCUGCCUGCAACAAUAUCAAGGGUGAGAAAUGCUAUUUGUAACCAAUUUCUUUAGUGAAACUAGCUUAGUUUGCAUGUUUGAUUUCA